GGCAGCAGGCGCGCAAAUUACCCACUCUCAAUUCGAGGAGGUAGUGACAACAACUAACGAGACUGCUCCCUUAUGGGAACAGUCAUCGAAAUGGGUACAAUUUAAACCCUUUAACGAGGAUCAAUGAGAGGGCAAGUCUGGUGCCAGCAGCCGCGGUAAUUCCAGCUCUCAAAGUGUAUGUCAUUAUUGCUGCGGUUAAAAAGCUCGUAGUUGGAUCUGAGCCUUUGGAUACGGUUCACCAUCUGGUGAUACUGGCUCCGGGGUUAAUUUCGUCGGUUCUCCGGCGAGAGUUACUCUGAAUAAAUCAGAGUGCUCAAAACAAGCGUUUCGCUUGAAUGUUUUUGCAUGGAAUAAUGGAAAAGGACUUCGGUUCCUUACUGUUGGUUUCGGAAUUGGAUUAAUGAUUAAGAGGGACCAACGGGGGCAUGCGUACCGCUACGCGAGAGGUGAAAUUCAUGGACCGUAGCGUGACGAACUAAAGCGAAAGCAUUUGCCAAGAAUGUCUUCAUUAAUCAAGAACGAAAGUCAGAGGUUCGAAGGCGAUUAGAUACCGCCGUAGUUCUGACCGUAAACGAUACCAUCUAGCGAUCCGGUGGUGGUUUUACCGCCUUGCCGGGGAGCUUCCCGGAAACGAAAGACUUCCGGUUCCGGGGGUAGUAUGGUUGCAAAGCUGAAACUUAAAGGAAUUGACGGAAUCGCACCACCAGGAGUGGAGCCUGCGGCUUAAUUUGACUCAACACGGGAAAACUCACCCGGCCCGGACACUGUAAGGAUUGACAGACUGAGAGCUCUUUCUUGAUUCGGUGGUUGGUGGUGCAUGGCCGUUCUUAGUUGGUGGAGCGAUUUGUCUGGUUUAUUCCGAUAACGAGCGAGACGCACCCCUACUUAAUACACCGUGAAUAAUUUCGUUCACAGGUGUUCUUAGAGGAAUUGGCGGUAUCGAGCCGCACGAAAGUGCGCAAUAACAGGUCUGUGAUGCCCUUAGAUGUUCGGGGCUGCACGCGUGCUACACUGGAGUCUGCAACGUGUUCCAUGGCCGAAGGGUCACUGGUAAACCGUUGAAAAGAUUCCGUGAUCGGGAUAGGGAAUUGCAAUUAUUUC
rnacentral:rRNA from 1 species